UAUCUCUGUAGAGUCUGCAUAUCAAUAAGCGGAGGAAAAGAAACUAACAAGGAUUCCCUUAGUAACGGCGAGUGAAGCGGGAAGAGCUCAAAUUUGAAAUCUUCAAGGUUCUACCUUGACGAAUUGUAGUUUAAAGAAGUGUUUUCUGUCAGAUGAGUAGUAAAAGUUCCUUGGAAUAGGACAUCAUAGAGGGUGAGAAUCCCGUAUUUGGACUAUUCAUUUCUAGCUUUGUGAUACACUUUCAAAGAGUCGGAUUGUUUGGGAAUGCAGUCCAAAAUGGGUGGUAAAUUUCAUCUAAAGCUAAAUAUUGGCGAGAGACCGAUAGCGAACAAGUACCGUGAGGGAAAGAUGAAAAGAACUUUGAAAAGAGAGUUAAACAGUACGUGAAAUUGUCAAAAGGGAAGCGUUUGACACCAGUGUUGUUUUUCCGAAAAUCAAUUACGAAUGGCUUGAUUUUGUGUUGUAUUGACCUUAUCAGCUUUCUGCACUUUUUUCGAGUCUUUCUUAAUGCACUUUUCGGUUAACAAGUCAACAUCAAUUCUUUUGUUGUAAAAGAGUAUUCGGAAGGUGGCUUUCUUUUCGGAGAAAGUGUUUAUAGCCCUAUACUUCUACAAUCGGAGAGAUUGAGGUCUGCAGCGUAGAUCCUUCGGGGUUAGAUACAUUUGUGCUAAGUUGUAGCUUUUCAUAGUCAACUUGUUGACUAUGUUUAGUCAUGCGGCUUACUCGCUUAUGCUAUUUUACCUACGCUUAGGAUGUUGACUGAUAUGUAGUCGUA
rnacentral:rRNA from 1 species